rnacentral:rRNA from 1 species
GCCAGCGGCUGGACCACCUGCAGGUCAGGCUAGGAAAUCCAUGUGAAGCUCAGCAGCUUUGGGCCUGGCUGGUACUCGGCUGGGAGACCAACUAGGAACGUUGGGUUGCUGUUGGAA